rnacentral:rRNA from 1 species
UACGUAGGGUGCGAGCGUUAAUCGGAAUUACUGGGCGUAAAGCGUGCGCAGGCGGUCUGUUAAGACCGAUGUGAAAUCCCCGGGCUUAACCUGGGAACUGCAUUGGUGACUGGCAGGCUUUGAGUGUGGCAGAGGGAGGUAGAAUUCCACGUGUAGCAGUGAAAUGCGUAGAGAUGUGGAGGAAUACCGAUGGCGAAGGCAGCCCCCUGGGCCAGCACUGACGCUCAUGCACGAAAGCGUGGGGAGCAAACAGG